UGCGUAGGCGGCUAUGUAAGUCAGAAGUGAAAGCUCUCAGCUUAACUGAGGAAUUGCUUUUGAUACUGCAUAGCUUGAAUAAGGUUGAGGUCGGCGGAAUGUGGCAUGUAGCAGUGAAAUGCAUAGAUAUGCCAUAGAACACCGAUUGCGAAGGCAGCUGGCUAGACCUUUAUUGACGCUGAGGCACGAAAGCGUGGGGAGCGAACAGGAUUAGAUACCCUGGUAGUCC
rnacentral:rRNA from 1 species